CUGAGUAUAGCUUAAAUAAAGCACUUUGCUUACACCAAAGAAAUAUUUACUAAACCAAAUUACUCU
rnacentral:tRNA from 1 species